UUCGAAGAAGAAUGUUUUGAACAUGACAUGAGAGUGAGGAUUUUCGGUCACAGCAGUGUCAGAAAUUGGUGGGAGGACUGUGGAUGAGGCCACGAGAUGUAUGAUGUUCUUCAUCAUGGACUAUGGCCUGUCAAGGCAGUACAACUUUGUGGGCUGGAAUGGAAAGUAGGAAUUCAGGACUUUAAAUCUGUUUGAAGUCAUAUUUGAUUUUGGACCAUUUCUCUCCUUUCUCUUUCAUACUUCCUACAGUAUACCAUAACGUGUUCAACUGUCUCUUGUUGCUCACAAUAUUCACAUCUGCCAUUGUUAUGUUUACCUAUUUAGA